CACGAACCGGCCGAACGUUAUUCGGAAUUAUUGGGCUUAAAGGGUGCGUAGGCGGUGCGGUAAGUGCGGUGUGAAAGCCCUCGGCUCAACCGAGGAAUUGCGCUGCAUACUGCCGUGCUAGAGGGAGACAGAGGUAAGCGGAACUGAUGGUGGAGCGGUGAAAUGCGUUGAUAUCAUCAGGAACACCGGUGGCGAAAGCGGCUUACUGGGUCUUCUCUGACGCUGAGGCACGAAAGCUAGGGUAGCGAACGGG
rnacentral:rRNA from 1 species